UCCUGGCUCAGGAUGAACGCUGGCGGCGUGCUUAACACAUGCAAGUCGAACGGAGUUAUCGAGUUAGAAGUGAAUAGCUUGCUAGGAGCGGAAGAGUUGAUAACUUAGUGGCGGACGGGUGAGUAACGCGUGGGUAACCUGCCGUAUACAGGGGGAUAACACUUAGAAAUAGGUGCUAAUACCGCAUAAGCGCACGAAAGCGCAUGCUUUUGUGUGAAAAACUCCGGUGGUAUACGAUGGACCCGCGUCUGAUUAGCCAGUUGGCAGGGUAACGGCCUACCAAAGCGACGAUCAGUAGCCGGCCUGAGAGGGCGGACGGCCACAUUGGGACUGAGACACGGCCCAAACUCCUACGGGAGGCAGCAGUGGGGGAUAUUGCACAAUGGGGGAAACCCUGAUGCAGCGACGCCGCGUGAGUGAAGAAGUAUUUCGGGUAUGUAAAGCUCUAUCAGCAGGGAGAAGAAGGACAGUACCUGAGUAAGAAGCCCCGGGCUAACUACGUGCC
rnacentral:rRNA from 1 species